UGGGCUCCUCCCGCUGCGGGCCGCCCGCCCGGACGCAAGGCACAGGGGGACGCCCCGCCGAGCCGCUGCCCACUGCACCGAGUUUUUCGGAGGCUGGGAGAGGAAAUGCCACUUGGAUUUUAAAACCGUCACCGAUACGCUAUAGCCCUGCUUUCUCUACCUCCAGUCGUUUUCUGAGGACCGGCUUGGUGGGUGCUGAUGCCUGCCUGGAAGACCUCACACCCACAGUGUCUUAGAAGAUUCUGAAAGCAGUGUGAGACCAGAAUGACCAGCAAAGGAGAAAAGAACAAGGACACAUUGCAGCCAAAAUGGAGCUAGAAUCUUGCCUCUGUCCAUCCUUCACUGGAGUUAUCCUGGAUGGAGAAGGAACCAUAUCACCUGCAAAGCCUGGAAGGGGAGCCCUGCUGUGAGUUCCAGGAACAUGCCAGUCUGCACUGCCACCUCCGUCUUCUCCAGGUUCCCACUUGGCUUGCUCGCUCACUUCCUUCUGGGUUUGACUAGAAUGCCACCAUCUUAGCAAGGACAUCCCUGCAUACCCUACCCAAAACUGUAUCCCCACACCACCAGCCUGACACUUCCUAUGCACCUUCUCUGUGUUAUUUUUCUUCUCAGCAUGUAUCACAACUAUCUACAUAUUUUUCAGUUUACCUCGUUUAUUGCCUGUCUCCGUCUUUAAUUGUUAGUUCUAUAUGGGAUCUGGGAUUUUGUUGCUGCUGUGGUUCAGUUUGUUCAUGAUUGUUUCAAAAGCACCUAGACUGUUCCUGCUACAUAGUAAAUAAUAAAUAUUGGUUGAAUAAAUAAAUGAAUGAAUAGCAUUAGUAGUGGUGUUUGUGUGUUUGUUCAUUUUGUAUGGCAAGAAUUGUGAAAUAAAGCAGAAGGAAGGAAGGUAGGUAGGUAGGCAGGUAGUGAGUUGCUCAUCACAGUAGUGUUCCCAGAAGUCUGGAUUUCCAUUCAUCAAAGAAGCUAUCGAGUGUGAGUUCUGUUGGAAGAGAGGUUGGACUAGAUGAUUUUGUAGGUAUCACCAAAUGUCUGACUGCUGCAACAGCUUGAGUCUGCUGGGGUCACACAAGAAUCACUAGAGCCCUGCAACCCCCCUGCUCUUUGGGUCAGUACUUGAACCUGCCUGAGAGGGGAUCUGCUUAAAAGCAGCAGCUUGUCUCCGGAUCCUGAAGCAAGGAGGUUUUGCAUCUCUCUGGCCUUGAAGAUCUCCAUCCCGUGGAGAGUCUGACUCUACAGAGCGGGCAGAGAGUAGGAAGAAGGAACCUAGACGAUCUCUGGCUGGGCCAAGAGAGAAAUUAGCAAGGCCAGCUGACAAACUGGGCCUCCUGCAUGGGGCUGAGAAGUGGGUAAGGGUUGGGAGGGAGAAGGGACAUAACCAGGGAUAAGGCAAGACAAGAAGUCUAAUCAGGGACUGAGUCGGUUAGAAGUUUAAGGAUUGUUCCUAAAUGGUUAUCAGCUCCAUCUGUUGGACAGCAGGCUGGUGGCAGGGGUGUGGGUGACGUGUACCACAUCACCCAGGAGAUCUCCAUCAGAAGGAGAUAGCCCUGGAACUUAGGAAUCUUUACGGGGAGGCGGGUGAUGAAAAAAGCAGGCCCCGGAGAGCGGGGACACUGACAGUGAGGGGAGACCUAGCAACCCUACUGCCAGGAGUGCAUUCCAAAGAAAUAGCCACAAAUGUGAGCACAGAUGUAUGCACAGGAAUGUCCACAGUGACACUAUUCAUAAUGCGUCCAAACAUGAAGCCAUCUAAAUGUCUGACAAAAGACAGUGGUAAAAUAAAUUACGGCAUUUUACAGGCACUAAAGUUGAUGUAGAGACAUAGUUCAUGACAGGGAGAGAUGACCAUGAUUUAUUGCUAAGUAAAAAGAACAGUUACGAAAUAAAAUGCACAUAUCCAAGCCUAGAAGGACAGUCACCAACAUACUAAUCAGUCUUGGGGGUAACAUUUUUUAAAAUGAUUUUUAUUUUCUCUUUGUUCUUUUCUACCUUUUCCAAGUUUUCCCCAAUAAGUAUGCUUUGACCUUGUAAGAUAUGAUAAAUAUCAUCUUUUAAAGUGUGGUGUUUUAGGUUCUCAAAGCAGAAAAUAAAGUCCAUUUCAUUUUAAAUAGGAUACAGUGAAAUCGCUGACUACAGGUCCUCUUUCGCUUAGUUCUCGUUUUCUUUAGUAUUCUAGGGCAGGGGAGGCUUUCUUAGUGGCAAAUUACUACUUUCAGGGGGAGCAUUAAAUAAAUAAGAAAGUAAAGGUUGUAAAUGUUGUUGGUAUUUGAUUUGGAAACAGUAUGAGUUAAAAUAAGAUAUAGGAUGAGGAUGCAUCCUGGCACAACAGAAAAAGCACUGGGCUGAGAGUCAGUCCUGGGUUACAGAGCUAGAACCGCAAACUCUCCAAGGAACAAACUCAGUACUCCCUCUUCAAGGGGAACCUAACCCUAUCCAUAACCUGAAUUCCACCUACAAUAUCUUUCUGGCUCAGCCACCAGCUUUGUGAUUCUGCCAUCUCCUUUCUGAGGGCCAGUGAAACAAAGGAGUCAAGGCAAAGGGGAUCUCCAAGGUUCUUUACCCAGCACAGAUUCCAUGAUGCCCAAGGGAGAAGAAAAAAGAUGCCAAAAAAGCCUCCUUUACGGCUUGACCUCGGACUGUCCUGGCCGCAUAGUUUACUGAGGGUCUAGACUUUUCUCCCUGGUUCCUGCUACAGAUCUUGCUGUAGAUGGGUGAUGGUGCCAUAGCUUGAUCUUGGGGACCCUGGGAUGUGGCAUCUUCUGCCAGUCCUGUUCUGUUGUGUCUCCCCCAGUCCUGGCCAAAGGCAGUGGCUUCUGUUGCUGCUCCCGUCAAGAAGUGCCUUCCUAUCCUGCCCAUCUGCUCACAUUUCUAUCACUGCAGCUCACAGACUUCGGUUGUCUUUCACACCCCAGGUAAGAUCAACUGCUAAAACCAACAAUGCCUUGACAUCCUUCUACAUGAAUCCACAUCUUCCUAACAUCUAUUUUGGAAUGCUCAGGUCCCUCAGGAGUCAGAAGAGCAGGGACACUGGGUGAGGCCAGGUGAAGAGGGCCUCAAGGGAGCUGAAGAUGAGCACAGGCUUCAGGGACUGUCAAAAGAGUCUUGCGAUCAGCCACAGACAGACAUGGCCACUGGCACCCUCCUCCAUGGAGAUGCCUCAGACACUCUAUUUGGCCUUUCUACCUUUCCAUUCAGUCAUUCAUUUUUGUAAAAUGUACAGUAAUCGAAAACAUUUAUUACAGUGCUGCUAUGGGCCUAGCUCCAUCUGGGCCCAUUACACACAUUUUCUUUAAUUAUCCCAAUGACCCUGCAAGGUAGGUAAUCUUCAUUUUAUAAAGAAGAGGACAGUUUCAGAGAGGUCAAGAAACCUGCCCAAGAUCACGUUGCUGGGUAGUGAUAAAGCCAAAACUUUAAUUUAGGUCUGAUUGCCUCAUGAAUCUAUGCUCUUUGCACUUUCUGCUGAAACUGACCUCCCUCAACCUUACCAUCUAGACAGAAAUGCAGAUGGCGGACACAAGAGGCACUUGCAAACCAGGGACACCCAGAGUCAAGUGGUUGCUUUCUAUGGUUUACGGCUGUCCUCCUUGGGAAGAACCAUCCCAAAAGCCAUGCGCACACGGGGCUCCUGAGGACAUCAUUUCAGCUUGUGUCAGGAAAGUGCUUAGCAGUGGAUCAAUUGCCAGUCUUCUGGUCAACCUAAUGAGCAAAAUAAAGUCAGCCUGAAUUGUCCAUCAUGGCCUAAUCAUCACGGAGUGAUUGAUCAACACAAAUGAUGACUCCAAUCCACUGGUUCUCAACCAGGGGCAGAUUUUGCCCCCAGGAAACAUUUGGCAACGUCUAAAGAUAUUUUGAGUUGUCACAACUUGGGGAGUGCUACUGUCAUCUAGUGGGUAGAGGUCAGGGAUGCUGCUCAACAUUCUACAAUGCACAGAACAGCCUCCCUGGUGCCCACAGCCACAGAGAAUUAUCUGGCCCCAGGUGUUUUAGUGCAGAGGUCGAGAAACCCUGCUCCAAGCAUUCGAUCAAGAGGGACUUGACCCAGCUGGAGACUAACCAAAUACCAGAAAGAGCAGCUGUUUUAUUUCUGGGAAAUUGUUGCUAGGGUUAAACUGUAUAGAUUUAGCCACGACUGAAGGUGUCCACAUCCUGUUAAGCUAGAUGGUGGGCAUUGUGUAUUUUUUUCCAGCUGCCCUUAUUCAAGAGUGGCCCCUGGAAUUUACUUAGCCUUUCUUUGGGUUAAAAUCAGGAAUGGAAAAUUUAACCUCUAAGAGGAAAACAAACAGAAAAUGAAAAGUAGGCGUAAUAAUGGAAGCUUAGGUGCAAAUUUUAGUGCAGGGUAUUCCUUCCUGUAAGGUUACUCACCCCACUCCUCCAGGCCACAGAUAUGCAUGCACAGCCUGCCCACAUGUAACUGUGCAGAGGGAGAGCUUAGAUUUGAAUCCAGAAGAAUGGAAUUCAAACCCCAACUCUACUGAUAACCAAUCUUGAGCAAAUCACUUGCCUUCUUGAAGUUUCAGUUCCUCUGUCAGUAACAGAGGCCAUACCCACACAUCCCCGAGGGCUGUGGAUUUUGCAUACAGUAAUUUACAUAAAAGCACUGGCAAAACUACAAAGUGUGCCAUAACUGCUCACCUGACGACAAUCACACACACAGAGGGCUUCUCCUCCCUGGGGCACGUGGGUUCUCUUUAUUAGAUUUUUCCACAUUAUCACUGCCUAUGUAAAGCUUCUCCUGGGUGAUAUUCUAUUUCUUAUGCUGCACUGGAGAAAUAUUCUCUAUAUCUUGAAAUGGAAACGCUGAACCCAACUUAUUUUACUCAUGACCUAAAUGAGAUUAUUGCUUCCAAGAGGACAAUAUAUCGCACUAAAAUGAGAAUGCUCAGGAUGAUUAGGUGGAGAGCAUUUAUGAUGCAGCUUUCCAUUCUCCAUGUGAUGAAAACUUGACAUGACCCAAUGCUUUAUUGUCCUACAGUAAUUCCUGUCACUUUUAUCCAGACUCAUAUUGCUCUUUAAUUCUAGCCUAUUUUCAUCUUUCCUUAACAGGACAUCAGAUCUUGGCUUUCACAAUCAACACAGUUUCAAAGGUUAUUUAUAAAAUAGUUUAAAAUAAAAUAUGCCAUGCUUUGAUUACAACCAGCGCUUCUGGUAUGAAUUAGAGAGGUGGCCUGUACACAUAUGUGUUGUUUAUUAGCUUUUAUCUGAUGAUCUCAAAGCACUGACAUCAAUUCUAACACACAUGGUUUCUUAUAAUUACCACCCCCCUACACACACACCCAUUUAUGCAGGGCAGAAUUAUUUUGAGGACAAAUGAGCUACGUAUUGUGAUGUGCUGUGAGUUUCUGAGAAUAGAAACUCCUAUGACUAAACUCUCCAUGAACAGAGCAAAUCAGAGAAUAACAGCAAAUGCUUUUAUCGCUCAGGCAGCUCAAUCACAUUUGGUUUUCCAUUUCACUCUAGUAAGAGGGUUAUCGGCCUUGAGGAUACCCCCCAAGAAAUGUUUGUGAUUUUUGUUUUAAGCUCAGCCCCUGUACCAUCUGCUCACUGAGGCCAACUUCCCAUCCCAGCUGUGUGGCUGCCUAAGUCAGCCUGGUGCUAUGGGAUGGGAACAGGCAGAGGUGGGGAGAGGCUUACAGACUCAUUUUCAAACAGAGAUGGAAAACUGGGAGUCAGAAGAGGUGGAGGUAUAUAUGGACCCAGCCAUCCGACUUCUGAUCCUAUUGUUCUUUUUUUUU
rnacentral:lncRNA from 1 species